rnacentral:rRNA from 1 species
UACAGAGGUGGCAAGCGUUGUUCGGAAUUACUGGGCGUAAAGGGCGCGUAGGCGGUUUCGUAAGUCCCGUGUGAAAGCCCCCCGGCUCAACUGGGGAAUUGCACGGGAAACUGCGAGGCUUGAGUUCGGGAGAGGGAAGCGGAAUUCCGGGUGUAGCGGUGAAAUGCGUAGAGUAUCCGGAGGAACACCGGUGGCGAAGGCGGCUUCCUGGACCGACACUGACGCUGAGGCGCGAAAGCUAGGGGAGCGAACGGG